GGGACGAUUCUGGCUCAGAUGAACGCUGGCGGGAUGCUUUACACAUGCAAGUCGAACGGCAGCACGGACUUCGGUCUACGGCGGAAUGCGAGAACGGAUAAAUGUAUCGGAACGUGCCUAGUAGCGGGGGAUAACUACGCGAAAGCGUAGCUAAUACCGCAUACGCCCUUCCCGGGGAAAAGCGGGAGACCUUCGGGCCUCGCACUAUUAGAGCGGCCGAUAUCGGAUUAGCUAGUUGGUGGGGUAACGGCUCACCAAGGCGACGAUCCGUAGCUGGUUUGAGAGGACGACCAGCCACGGCGGGACUGAGACACGGCCCAGACUCCUACGGGAGGCAGCAGUGGGGAAUUUUGGACAAUGGGGAAACCUGAUCCAGCCAUCCCGCGUGUGCGAUGAAGGCCUUCGGGUUGUAAAGAAAACACUUUUGGCGGGAAAGAAACGGCAAGGAUAAUACCCCGUGCAACUGACAGAAACACCUGCAGAAUAAGCACCGGCUAACUACGUGCCAGCAGCCGCGGUAAUACGUAGGGUGCAGCGUUAAUCGGAAUUACUGGGCGUAAAGCGUGCGCAGGCGGUUCCGGAAAGAAAAGAUGUGAAAUCCCAGAGCUUAACUUUUGGAACUGCAUUUUAACUACCGAGCUAGAGUGUGUGUCAGAGGAGGUAGAAUUCCGCAUGUAGCAGUGAAAUGCGUAGAUAUGCGGAAGACACCGAUGGCGAAGGCAGCCUCCUGGGAUAACACUGACGCUCAUGCACGAAAGCGUGAGGCAAACAGGAUUAGAUACCCUGGUAGUCCACGCCCUAAACGAUGUCAACCAGCUGUUGGGGCCUUCGGGCCUUGGUAGCGCAACUAACGCGUGAAGUUGACCGCCUGGGGAGAGCCAAGAUGCGCAAGAUUAAAACUCAAAGGAAUUGACCGGAGCCCGCACAAGCGGUGGAUGAUGUGGAUUAAUUCGAUGCAACGCGAAAAACCUUACCUACCCUUGACAUGUCUGGAAUCCCAGAGAUUUGAGGUGCUCGCAAGAGAACCGGAACACGGUGCUGCAUGGCUGUCGUCAGCUCGUGUCGUGAGAUGUUGGGUUAAGUCCCGCAACGAGCGCAACCCUUGUCAUUAGUUGCUACGGGCACUCUAAUGAGACUGCCGGUGACAAACCGGAGGAAGGUGGGGAUGACGUCAAGUCCUCAUGGCCCUUAUGGGUAGGGCUUCACACGUCAUACAAUGGUCGGGACAGAGGGUCGCCAGCCCGCGAGGGGAGCCAAUCCCAGAAACCCGAUCGUAGUCCGGAUCGCAGUCACAACUCGACUGCGAUCCGGAUGAUCAGGUUUCAUUGGCGCUCCCUGUUCGCCAGCCGCCUGUCCCGGCCAUUAUGACGUGCCCAUAAAAAUUGUGAGGCCGGCAUCUGUGCGGUUUAUCUGUGUGCAAUCUCGUGGAAUUCUCGCUGUAAUAAUGACAAGGGUUAGAAACUCGUUGCCCGGGACUAACAACGACAGCCGGCACACCUGUUCCGGUUGGGUGCUUGCGAACUGUGUCGAAAAACUAAAUCGAUAUAGUGCGUGGCCG
rnacentral:rRNA from 1 species